rnacentral:rRNA from 1 species
UACAGAGGAGCCAAGCGUUGUCCGGAUUGACUGGGCGUAAAGCGCACGCAGGUGGUUGCGCGCGUGGGGUGUGAAAUCUGGCCGCUUAACGGCCAGGCGCCAUCCCAUACGGCGCGACUGGAGUGAUGCAGAGGUCGAUGGAAUUGCCGGUGUAGUGGUGAAAUGCGUAGAGAUCCGGAGGAACACCGAAGGCGAAGGCAGUCUCCUGGCAAGUUACUGACGCUCAGGUGCGAAAGCUAGGGGAGCGAACAGG